rnacentral:rRNA from 1 species
GACAGAGGGUGCAAACGUUGCUCGGAAUCACUGGGCGUAAAGGGCGUGUAGGCGGACUUGCAAGUCAGGCGUGAAAUCCCUGGGCUCAACCCAGGAAUUGCACUUGAAACUGCAAGCCUUGAGUGUCGGAGAGGAAAGUGGAAUUCCUGGUGUAGAGGUGAAAUUCGUAGAUAUUGCAAGAACACCAGUGGCGAAGGCGGCUCACUGGCCCGGUACUGACGCUGAGGUGCGAA